GUACUUUUCAAAAUUAUCCCUUCCUCUUCCAUUUUUCCAUUCGCAUCUGUCAACGGCCUUCUCUGCAACCGUCCUUUUUUCGUAUUUCUCUCAAGAUUAAAAACCCUAAUUUGACCGCCAAAAACUCCGAAAUCUUCAAACACCGUCACCGGAAAAUGUCCACGUCACGCAGAUCCGUCCCUCUUCUGAAAACCCUUAUAGCGCAAAGAACCCAUCGCCGAACCGUGACUUACAUGCCCCGACCGGGGGAUGGAGCCCCGAGACCCGUAACUCUAAUCCCAGGAGACGGUAUCGGACCGUUGGUGACAAACGCGGUGGAACAAGUGAUGGAAGCAAUGCACGCGCCGGUUUACUUCGAGAAGUACGAGGUUCACGGCGACAUGAAGCGCGUGCCGCAGGAAGUCAUAGAUUCAAUAAAGAAGAACAAAGUUUGUCUGAAAGGAGGGUUGAAGACUCCAAUGGGAGGUGGAGUUAGUUCACUGAAUAUGCAAUUGAGAAAAGAAUUGGAUUUAUAUGCUUCGUUGGUCAAUUGCUGUAACUUACCGGGAUUGCCAACCAGACAUGAAAACGUGGACAUCGUGGUAAUUAGGGAGAAUACGGAAGGGGAAUACUCGGGGCUCGAACAUGAGGUCGUGCCUGGCGUUGUUGAGAGUCUUAAGGUGAUAACAAAGUUUUGUUCAGAGCGGAUCGCAAAAUAUGCAUUCGAGUAUGCCUAUUUAAACAAUCGAAAGAAGGUUACUGCUGUUCAUAAGGCCAAUAUAAUGAAACUCGCUGAUGGUUUGUUUUUAGAGUCUUGCCGGGAAGUGGCAACGAAAUAUCCUAGCAUCAAGUACAAUGAAAUUAUUGUGGACAAUUGCUGUAUGCAACUUGUCUCAAAACCAGAACAAUUUGAUGUCAUGGUAACUCCUAAUCUUUACGGAAAUCUUGUUGCAAACACAGCAGCUGGUAUUGCUGGAGGCACUGGUGUCAUGCCAGGAGGUAAUGUUGGAGCUGAUCAUGCUGUCUUUGAGCAAGGCGCUUCAGCAGGGAAUGUGGGAAAAGAAAAGAUAGUAGAGCAAAAGAAGGCAAAUCCAGUGGCUUUGCUUCUCUCCUCUGCCAUGAUGUUGAGGCACCUCCAGUUUCCUUCAUUUGCUGAUCGACUCGAAACUGCAGUGAAACGUGUAAUAUUAGAAGGUAUGUACCGGAGUAAAGAUCUCGGUGGAGAUAGCAGUACACAGGAAGUUGUUGAUGCUGUCAUUGCUAAGCUAGACUGAUUGGUUGAACUCCUCCAUCAUGGACUCUUAAUAUUGUCAUUUGUACUCACAAAAAAGAGAGAUGGAGAUGAUGGUUCAUCCGCCAUGGGAGGAACUUCCUCAAGACAUAUGGGGUUUAAUCUUUCAGCGCCUCCCAUUAGUGGAUCGUGUUCACUCCAGCGUCGUAUGCAAACGAAUGGAGUGCAGCCCUAAAGCAAACUCCUCGACCCGCAUGGAAUCUACUGGACCUCGACGAUGAUAGCAAAGACUGGGAUCACAUGAUUAUGACCUACUUUGACUUGAGUGAAAGCACAAUUGGAAACCUGAAUCUCUCUGACCCAAUACCGAAAGGGGAUGCUACCGGGGCUUCCAAAGAUUGGCUUGUAGAACCAACGAGGGGCACGGCAACUAAUAAUCUACAAACUUUUCUGCUUGAUCCAAUUUCAGGGGUUCAAAUUCCACUGCCUCCCUUGUCAACAAUAACAUCGGCUUCAGGAGAUUCAAACGUCGUCCUUUAUAAAAUCCAGGAUGCAUCCCAAUUCGUGGUUGCAGCAAGCUUUGAUGAGGGCAAGAUCUUGGCAUUGUGCAGAGCAAACCAUAUUCGAAGGGCUAGAUCCAUCUUGAACAUUCUCUUGGAGAGGUAGAUCCCUUUGGCAGAACUUGGACGGCAACGCCAUACUUGGUGGACUCCAACGGUGAGUUGUUGAUAGUUUGUAAAAUAGUAAAUGACGAGGGUGACCAAGACGAUGAGCCUCAAACUCCAUACGAUCGGCUUACAACAUUCCAAGUAUUCAAGGUUGAAGCAAGUGAUACACCAUGUUUAAGGAAGUCAAGCAGCAUAGUUGACCAAACAUUGUUCAUCGAUGGAGCGGAUGCAGUAUCGCUGCCCAGUGAAUAUUUUGGUAGAAAUUGCAUCUAUUUUUUGGAAAAUUC